GUCCAAGUAACCUCCACAACCUGAUUCUUCAAAGAGAUCGCUGCCGAGAGAAACGUGUCACGAGGAAGAAGAAUCCUCUUGGGUGGAAAAUCAAUUCCUCCUCCUCCUUCUCGGUCGUCCUGUGAUGAGGCGAGCUCCAGCACCGACGGCAUUCUGUAUUUAGGAAUUGAAAUGAAAUCCGGUUCGUUGGUUUGAAGGAUGAAGAAAUGUUGUAGCAGAGAGUCAGAGUUAGAGGUUAGAGUUAGAGUGAUGGUGUAGGUGUAAGGGAAACAAUGGCGGUUCGAAG
rnacentral:misc_RNA from 1 species